CAGCCGUAAACUAUGCGCGUUAGGUGUAUCGGUGACCACGAGUCACCGAGGUGCCGAAGGGAAACCGUGAAACGUGCCGCCUGGGAAGUACGGCCGCAAGGCUGAAACUUAAAGGAAUUGGCGGGGGAGCACAACAACGGGUGGAGCCUGCGGUUUAAUUGGACUCAACGCCGGACAACUCACCGGGGACGACAGCAAUAUGUAGGCCAGGCUGAAGACCUUGCCUGAAUCGCUGAGAGGAGGUGCAUGGCGUAGACGUCU
rnacentral:rRNA from 1 species